rnacentral:rRNA from 1 species
UACAGAGGUCUCAAGCGUUGUUCGGAUUCAUUGGGCGUAAAGGGUGCGUAGGCGGCGCGGUAAGUCGGGUGUGAAAUCUCGGAGCUUAACUCCGAAACUGCAUUCGAUACUGCCGUGCUUGAGGACGGGAGAGGAGACUGGAAUUUACGGUGUAGCGGUGAAAUGCGUAGAUAUCGUAAGGAAGACCAGUGGCGAAGGCGGGUCUCUGGACAGUUCCUGACGCUGAGGCACGAAGGCCAGGGGAGCAAACGGG